UCCGGUAUGGUCUAGUGGCUAAAAUACCUGGCUCUCACCCAGGAGGCUCGGGUUCGAUUCCCGGUACCGGAA
rnacentral:tRNA from 1 species